rnacentral:rRNA from 1 species
GAGUUUGAUCUUGGCUCAGAUUGAACGCUGGCGGCAUGCCUUACACAUGCAAGUCGAACGGCAGCACGGGAGCUUGCUCCUGGUGGCGAGUGGCGAACGGGUGAGUAAUGCAUCGGAACGUAUCCUGGAGUGGGGGAUAACGUAGCGAAAGUUACGCUAAUACCGCAUAUUCUGUGAGCAGGAAAGCGGGGGACCUUCGGGCCUCGCGCUCUUGGAGCGGCCGAUGUCGGAUUAGCUAGUUGGUGAGGUAAAGGCUCACCAAGGCGACGAUCCGUAGCAGGUCUGAGAGGAUGAUCUGCCACACUGGAACUGAGACACGGUCCAGGCUCCUACGGGAGGCAGCAGUGGGGAAUUUUGGACAAUGGGGGCAACCCUGAUCCAGCCAUGCCGCGUGAGUGAAGAAGGCCUCGGUUGUAAG